rnacentral:rRNA from 1 species
AAUGAACGUUGGCGGCAUGGAUUAGGCAUGCAAGUCGAGCGAGAAGUGUAGCAAUACACGGAAAGCGGCGGAAGGGAGAGUAAUACGUGGGAAUCUGCCCUUAGACCUGGGAUAGCAGCGGGAAACUGCUGGUAAUACCAGAUAACGUCUAUGGACCAAAGGUGUGAUUCCGUCUAGGGAUGAGCCCACGUCCUAUUAGCUAGUUGGUAGGGUAAUGGCCUACCAAGGCGAUGAUGGGUAGCGGGUGUGAGAGCAUGACCCGCCUCACUGGGACUGGGACACUGCCCAGACACCUACGGGUGGCUGCAGUCGAGAAUCUUCGGCAAUGGGCGCAAGCCUGACCGAGCGAUGCCGCGUGCGGGAUGAAGGCCUUCGGGUUGUAAACCGCUGUCGAGGGGGAGCAACUUCCAUAGAGUUAUCUUUAUGGAUUGAGUGAUCCCUGGAGGAAGGACGGGCUAAGUUCGUGCCAGCCGCCGCCGUAACAC